rfam:Xanthomonas campestris pv. campestris str. ATCC 33913, complete genome.
AUGUACCCACGUACACUCCGGUUCCUCCGCGCCGUCCGCACCCACCUGACGGCUGCUCGCUAAGUUUUGUUAGCC